AUUGAACGCUAGCGGGAUGCUUUACACAUGCAAGUCGAACGAGUGGCGGACGGGUGAGAAAUAUAUCGGAACGCGCCCAGUAACGGGGGAAAACUACUCGAAAGAGUGGCUAAUCCCGCAUACUAUGGGAGCAGACCAUAUCGGAUUAGCUAGUUGGUGGGGUAAAGGCUCACCAAGGCAACUCUCCGAAGCUGGUUGGUGAGGACGACCAGCCACACUGGGACUGAGACACGGCCCAGACUCCUACGGGAGGCAGCAGUGGGGAAUAUUGGACAAUGGGGGAAACCCUGAUCCAGCCAUCCCGCGUGUAUGAGAAGGCCUUCGGGUUGUAAAGUACUUUUGGCAGAGAAGCGGUAUCUGCAGAAUAAGCACCGGCUAACUACGUGCCAGCAGCCGCGGUAAUAC
rnacentral:rRNA from 1 species